rnacentral:rRNA from 1 species
UACGUAGGGUGCGAGCGUUAAUCGGAAUUACUGGGCGUAAAGCGUGCGUAGGCGGUUCGCUGUGUCCGAUGUGAAAGCCCCGGGCUUAACCUGGGAAUGGCAUUGGAAACUGGCGGGCUUGAGUGCGGCAGAGGGGGGUGGAAUUCCGCGUGUAGCAGUGAAAUGCGUAGAGACGCGGAGGAACACCGAUGGCGAAGGCAGCCCCCUGGGUCGACACUGACGCUCAGGCACGAAAGCGUGGGGAGCAAACAGG